GGGGAUGAUCGGUUUCGACAUUGCCUGAGCGAAUAUGAGAAGCGGGUCGAGGAUCCAGGGUUAUCUCGUUAACGAUCUCUGGAAAACAAUAAGUGCCAAUUCAAACAGCACUGUCUCUGCCAAGGCUGACUUCGCCCUCGCGGCGUAAGUUCCUUCGCAACUUAUAGAGACCGUCAGGCCGGGAAUGCUCUCUACCCGGACCCUGGCGCCAGCUAGAGAGAUUGCUUUUAUGUUCUGUCUUGGGGCAUAAAGGGACUUAAACCAGGGCUGGGCUUGUCGGAUUAGGUGCCAGUGGCAAAUUCCGGAGCCGAGUAGAACGCCUGCACUGGCUACACCCGUAGAAGGCAUAUGACCACAGCAGUGGACCGGGGUUCAAUUCCCCGCAUCUCCACCA
rnacentral:tmRNA from 1 species